rnacentral:rRNA from 1 species
UACAGAGGGUGCAAGCGUUGUUCGGAAUUAUUGGGCGUAAAGCGCGUGUAGGCGGCAUGGCAAGUCGGGUGUGAAAGCCCUCAGCUCAACUGAGGAAGUGCGCCCGAAACUGCUGUGCUUGAGUACCGGAGAGGGUGGCGGAAUUCCGCAAGUAGAGGUGAAAUUCGUAGAGAUGCGGAGGAACACCGGUGGCGAAGGCGGCCACCUGGACGGUCACUGACGCUGAGACGCGAAAGCGUGGGGAGCAAACAGG